rnacentral:rRNA from 1 species
UACGAAGGGGGGCUAGCGUUGCUCGGAAUCACUGGGCGUAAAGGGUGCGUAGGCGGGUCUUUUAAGUCAGGGGUGAAAUCCUGGAGCUCAACUCCAGAACUGCCUUUGAUACUGAGAAGCUUGAGUCCGGGAGAGGUGAGUGGAACUGCGAGUGUAGAGGUGAAAUUCGUAGAUAUUCGCAAGAACACCCGUGGCGAAGGCGACUCUUUGGUCUGUAACUGACGCUGAGGCGCGAAAGCGUGGGGAGCGAACAGG